AAUAAGCUAAAUAAGAGCGUAUGGGGAAUGCCUAGGCUCUCAGAGGCGAUGAAGGACGUGAUAAGCUGCGAAAAGUUGCGGGGAUUGGCACAUACAAAUUGAUCCGCAAAUAUCCGAAUGGGGCAACCCACUAUGUUGAAGACAUAGUAUCCGCAAGGAGGCAAACCCAGGGAACUGAAACAUCUAAGUACCUGGAGGAGAAGAAAACAAAAGUGAUUCCGUAAGUAGUGGCGAGCGAACGCGGAAUAGCCCAAACCAGUGUUGUUACGGCAAUACUGGGGUUGUAGGACUGCGUCAUUGUAUGAAUCAUGAAUUAGAACUGUUUGGAAAGACAGACCAAAGAGGGUGAUAGUCCCGUAUAGGUAAGUGAUUUAAUACAUAGCAGUAUCCUGAGUAGCGCGGGACACGUGUAAUCCUGUGUGAAUUUGGCGGGACCAUCCGCUAAGGCUAAAUACUCCUGAGAGACCGAUAGUGAACUAGUACCGUGAGGGAAAGGUGAAAAGAACCUUGAAUAAAGGAGUGAAAUAGAACCUGAAACCAUACGCUUACAAGCGGUCGGAGCCCUUUUGGGUGACGGCGUGCCUUUUGCAUAAUGAGCCUACGAGUUACCGUUUCUAGCAAGGUUAAGCACUUUUGGUGCGGAUCCGUAGCGAAAGCGAGUCUGAAUAGGGCGCUUUAGUUAGUGGCGGUAGACGCGAAACCGUGUGAUCUACCCAUGGGCAGGGUGAAGCUGUGGUAACACACAGUGGAGGCCCGAACCCGUUGACGUUGAAAAGUCUUGGGAUGACCUGUGGGUAGGGGUGAAAGGCCAAUCAAACUCGGAAAUAGCUCGUACUCCCCGAAAUGCAUUUAGGUGCAGCGUAUUAUUAGUUUUAUAGAGGUAGAGCUACUGAUUGGAUGCGGGGGCUUCACCGCCUACCAAUUCCUGACAAACUCCGAAUGCUAUAAAAUGAUGUAAUGCAGUGAGGGCAUGGGUGCUAAGGUCCAUGUCCGAGAGGGAAAGAACCCAGACCAUCAGCUAAGGUCCCAAAAUGUAUGUUAAGUUGAAUAAACGCGGUUGGAUUGCACAGACAGCUAGGAUGUUGGCUUGGAAGCAGCCAUUCAUUUAAAGAGUGCGUAACAGCUCACUAGUCGAGCGAUCCGGCAUGGAUAAUAAUCGGGCAUAAACAUACUACCGAAGCUAUGGACUUGUAAAAGUGGUAGGGGAGCAUUGUAGUGUCGUCGAAGGUGAAACGUGAGUUUUGCUGGAGAAGCUACAAAAGAAAAUGUAGGCAUAAGUAACGAUAAUGCGGGCGAGAAACCCGCACACCGAAAGACUAAGGUUUCCUCAGCUAUGCUAAUCAGCUGAGGGUUAGUCGGGACCUAACGCGAACCCGAAAGGGGUAGUGGAUGGACAACAGGUUAAUAUUCCUGUACCUGCUCACGCUAAACGUGACGGAGGCGAAUAUUUGGUGCGUACUGACGGAAUAGUACGUUGAAGCCAGUGGUAACACGGCGAUAGUACACUAAAGCUUCGGCUGCGGUGAUAAUCCAGAGAAUCGACUUCCAAGAAAAGCAAGUGAAGCAGCCCGUACCAUAAACCGACACAGGUAGUUGGGAUGAGAAUUCUAAGGUGCUCGAGAGAUUCAUGGCUAAGGAACUAGGCAAAAUCGACCCGUAACUUCGGGAGAAGGGUCGCCUCCAAGCAAUUGGAGGCCGCAGUGAAGAGGUCCAGGCGACUGUUUAUCAAAAACACAGGGCUCUGCUAAAUCGAAAGAUGAUGUAUAGGGCCUGACACCUGCCCGGUGCUGGAAGGUUAAGUGGAGAUGUUAGCUUCGGCGAAGCAUUGAAAUGAAGCCCCAGUAAACGGCGGCCGUAACUAUAACGGUCCUAAGGUAGCGAAAUUCCUUGUCGGGUAAGUUCCGACCUGCACGAAUGGUGCAACGAUCUGGACACUGUCUCAGCCAUGAGCUCGGUGAAAUUGUAGUAUCGGUGAAGAUGCCGAUUACCCGCUGUGGGACGAAAAGACCCCGUGCACCUUUACUAUAGCUUAGUAUUGGUUUUGGAUAAGUAAUGUGUAGGAUAGGUGGGAGACUUUGAAGUGGCGUCGCCAGGCGUUGUGGAGUCAUUGUUGAAAUACCACCCUUUGCUUAUCUAGAGUCUAACUUUCUUUUUGAAAGGACAGUGCUUGGUGGGUAGUUUGACUGGGGUGGUCGCCUCCAAAAGAGUAACGGAGGCUUCUAAAGGUACCCUCAGCACGCUUGGUAACCGUGCGUAGAGUGCAAUGGCAUAAGGGUGCUUGACUGAGAGACAUACAGGUCGAUCAGGUACGAAAGUAGAGCAUAGUGAUCCGGUGGUUCCGUAUGGAAGGGCCAUCGCUCAAAGGAUAAAAGGUACGCCGGGGAUAACAGGCUGAUCUCCCCCAAGAGCUCACAUCGACGGGGGGGUUUGGCACCUCGAUGUCGGCUCGUCACAUCCUGGGGCUGGAGAAGGUCCCAAGGGUUGGGCUGUUCGCCCAUUAAAGUGGCACGCGAGCUGGGUUCAGAACGUCGUGAGACAGUUCGGUCUCUAUCUACAGUGGGCGUUAGAAAUUUGAGUGGAUCUGUUCCUAGUACGAGAGGACCGGAAUGGACUAACCUCUGGUGUACCAGUUGUUCCGCCAGGAGCACUGCUGGGUAGCUACGUUGGGAAAGGAUAAGCGCUGAAAGCAUAUAAGCGCGAAACCUACCACAAGAUGAGAUUUCUUUAAAGGAUCGUGGGAGAUGACCACGUUGAUAGGCUACAGGUGUAAAGGCAGUAAUGUCAUAGCCGAGUAGUACUAAUCAUCCAUAGGCUUAUUGUACGGCUGUUUUUUUUAAUGAAGUACACCAUUACUU
rnacentral:rRNA from 1 species